rnacentral:rRNA from 1 species
AUACGGAGGGUGCAAGCGUUAAUCGGAAUUACUGGGCGUAAAGAGUACGUCGGUGGUUUAUUAAGUCAGAUGUGAAAGCCCCGGGCUCAACCUGGGAACUGCAUUUGAAACUGAUAAGCUAGAGUAUGGUAGAGGGGGGUAGAAUUUCUAGUGUAGCGGUGAAAUGCGUAGAUAUUAGAAGGAAUACCAGUGGCGAAGGCGGCCCCCUGGACCAAUACUGACACUGAGGUACGAAAGCGUGGGGAGCGAACAGGAUUAGAAACCCCAGUAGUCC